GGGCCGUUAGCUCAGUUGGUAGAGCAGCUGACUCUUAAUCAGCGGGUCGUUGGUUCGAUCCCAACACGGCCCAUCA
rnacentral:tRNA from 1 species